GGGCCUGGGCUUAAGUCCUCUAGCUCCGAGGUUAGACUGUUUAACAAGCUGUCCGCCCUUGCUGGUUUCUUCAUUUUCUCACGUUUUGUUUAAUUAAAAAACUGAGGCUGGGGCUACAGAUCAGUGGCUAGCCCUUGCCUAUCAUGCCCUAGAUUUAUACUCCACAGAGAAAAAACAAAAUUCUAAAUUCACCAUUACAGCACACAUUGACAGCAAAGCAAUCAGAAGAAAGCAGGCACACCUGUCACCUAUGCUGACCCUGAGAGCGCCACAUCUGGGUCCUCAGACAAAGAACACCUGCAGAUUCCACCCUUGAUGCAGUUCUGGUCCUGAACCCAAUAAAAAGGAGAAGAGGAGCUGAGCACCGACACUCAUCUCUCUCUGCUUCCUGACUGUGGAUGCCUCAACCUGUUGAUUCCCCACCAUGAUGGACUGUAGCCUUGAACUGCGAGCCAAAGUGAACCCUAUCUCCCUAUGGAUAGUCUGGGGUCAUCCUCCUGCCCAGCCACUUCCUUCCUCCUUUCCAAUUCAGAAGCCAUCAUCCUCUGGACAGCGAACAUCCUGUAUCCAUGGAGAUUGGGUCCUGGAAUCACCUGCAACCCUGCUGAAGUUCUGUGUCAAGGCCAAGCAGCCAUGUGUUAUAUGAGCCACACUCUCCACUUAGAGAAAGCCGAGCAUCUGAGAAGUUACUGGCAAAUGAGAUGGAAAAUGCCCAAGAGUUUCUUACUCCUUUCCAAAGAAAACAAACCUGCUGGAGACUGCACAAACAGAAAAUACUGGUCCUGCAUUGUGUAAAUUAUAUCUGCUUAAUGAUUCCUUCUAUGAACUAUUAAAGUUCUAAUAGUGUGUGCAUUUAGAUCUCCAUCAUUUAUUUUGACCCCCAUAGUGCUGAGCAAGUGCUAUGUCGCUGAACCACCCUGCGGGUCUUGAAUCUCCAUGAUUCCCACUAGAACACAGUUCUGAUUAUUUGCUGCAUGUUCAGAAGGAGCCGAAGGUCCAGUUGAUGGCCCAGUGGCCACUCAGUGAGUGUGCAUUAUGUUCAAGGUCCUGUGCUCCAUGUGAAUGUGAAAGACAGGUGACUUCACUUAUUCCAUUAAGGAGACAGAUAAAUGACAAACCUAUGAGUCAUGAUGCCAGUUGAGUGCUUUGGGGAAAUGAAUAGGUGCUUUGAUGGGGAAAGCCUGGGUAUGAGGCAGUAGCUGGACAGGGUAUUUAGGCUGGGCCCUUUAAGGAGCUUCAGCCUGAGUAGGGAGAGGAGCCUGUAAGGCAAAAGUGUGGGGAAAACCUUUAGUCAGAGAAACCAGUAAGUCUACAAAUAGGCUGAAAUAAGAUCCAGAAAGGUUGUGAGGGCUCCAAAGAGUUACAAGAAGAGAACAGGACAGAAGAGGAGAGGGAGGCAAAGCUACCUUUGAGUGAUACCCUUGAUACUCAAAGAUACCCUUGAGUGAAAUAAUCAAAAUGACUGCAGGGCUGGAGGAGGGCUGCAGGGCUGGCGGUGGGGGUGGG
rnacentral:lncRNA from 1 species